rnacentral:rRNA from 1 species
UACGUAGGGGGCAAGCGUUGUCCGGAUUUAUUGGGCGUAAAGCGCACGUAGGCGGCCUGAUAAGUCGGGUGUGAAAGCCCUGGGCUCAACCCAGGAAGUGCACUCGAAACUGUCAGGCUUGAAUAUGGAAGAGGGUCGCGGAAUUCCCGGUGUAGAGGUGAAAUUCGUAGAUAUCGGGAGGAACACCAGUGGCGAAGGCGGCGACCUGGGCCAAUAUUGACGCUGAGGUGCGAAAGCGUGGGGAGCAAACAGG